rnacentral:sRNA from 1 species
AAUUUGCUCUUCACAGGUGAUGAAUCUCCUUCAUAUUCAUUGAAGUGAGGUUCCACAAAGCAUUCGCUGGAAUCGUCUUCAUCGUUUCUUGGGUCUGAUUCAUCAAGAAAAUUAGGUUCCUCAAAUUUUGACUGUUCUUCAAGCAUUUUAAUUGCAGCCUUUAAAUCCAAUGGUUUCCAGGAACAACUAAGAAGCAUCUCCGUCCACUCAUUAUCCACCAUCUCUGGUAUAAUCGAUUGCAAUUUGGGCAACAAAGUCCACAUAUGCUCCUUCUUUACAUGCUGCCUAUGUGAAUCUGCAUUGGCAAAUUUUGCAUUGCAGCUACAGCACUGCCAAAACUUCCAUACCCUAUUGUCUUUCCCAAAAGAUAAAGCAUCAUCAAGCACCUUACUCACUGACCCUUCCUUUGACAAACUAUAAUAUGUUUUGAGAUCAGAAAUCCUAACUUUAAGCAGCUCUUUCUUCUUAUCCAAGUCCAGUGAGUUCCAAUAAGACCUAACAAAGUCCCUUAUCUCAGCCGAAGAAAUGUUUCUCCUCGUAUUCUCACUUUUCCUUCUUUCUUUCACUUUCUUCCCCAUCCCUAAACCAGAAUCCAACCCCUUAUUACCAUCAUUAUUGUUACUGUUCAG